UUUACAACAUUAUGAAUGAAAUGUGCUCUAUUUGGAAGCAGCCGGUGCCCUUUCGACAGGUUGUGUGUGAGAUUUUAAAUCAUCAAACUGUAAAUUAUAAAUUUUAAAUUGUUAUUGAUCCCUUUACUCCUGGUCCUAAAGCGUAUUUUUAUUUUCUUACUCUUCUUAUUUUUAUUGUUUGUUUACUUGCACUGCUGUAACUGGAGCCUCGUCUCGUCUCUCUAUAUACUGGACUGCAUGUAGCGGAGAUGACAAUAAAGUUUACUUUGACUUCAGUAGCGAGGGCUCUCGCGCUCACUUUUCGCGUAUAGAAUUUCGAAAAACGUCGGUUCAAAUUACAAGUCUGUAUCAUGAUGUCUGGUGUUUUCGUGUUUUUUGGUUUGCUUUUAUUUUGUUUUAUUUUGCGAGUUGGUUAUUAGAUGCUGCUCCAGCCAGCCAGAGAAUCCCCCGCAGCCCCGCCCUCUCCUCCCUGUGCCGCAAGCAGCAGGCGCACCUCGCAAACGGAGGGCGCCCUUACUCCCAGCAAAUGGGUGAUAGAAAACCGAUCGGUGCCUGUACCAUUCCCAAUAUGCGCUGGCAUGACGUCGGGGCAGCAUGAGUACGAGCAUUUUUUUUUUUUUUUUUUUUGCCGAUGCCCGUGAUGCCGCUCCCCACCACGAUGCCUCCCCGGGCAACCGCCCGUGUCGCCCGUAUCUAAAACCGCUACUGAUGAUGGUUGUGUUGACAAAUUUGUCCAAAUCUGAAGCUAACAAAGUACAUUUAAGCUAAAUACAGUUCACAUAGGUUUCAAUUUAAAUACAAAAUAUUGUUUCAGUUUUUAUUUAACCUCAAGUUUAGUUUUAAAUUGCAGUUAACUGCAUUUUCGCACUUGAAUUUUUAUUUCAGUUUUAGACCAAAUAUAUUUCUUCAUAUUUGAGCAGUGCUGACAGAUACCCGAACAUUCAGCUGCACUUAAUAUUAGUCCAACUGAAGAUCAUAAUUUACCACUUCACCACCCACUCUGGUCAGUGAACCAACAUCACUGAGAGACUAAAAGUCACAAUCUUGAUGCAAAGUAUUUAUGGUUUGGGUGAGGAAGACCAGUGCGUGGCUCAUGAACAGCGAACAGUAGGAGGUCGAUAAAGCAGCGAUAAGAGCCGUCGAUGUUAUUCGAUCCAUUUGCAGUGGGACAACGACGUGCACACUAUCCCCGGUGGGAUCAAGCACAUGGAGGAAAAGGCUGAGGUAAGAAAAGUCCACCCAGUGUCUUGCAGAGAUGAGCAAA
ensembl:lncRNA